UGCAGGUCUGGGUCAUCCCCUGCCCACCCUCCGCCCCCGAGGUGAGGGACAAUUGGCCACUGCCUUUUACCACAAAUCGCUACAAAAAGCACAUUUUGUGAGGCCCGGAGCUGUUUUCCCGGGAGAUCUGGGGGUGUGGAUGCCCUGCUCCUCCGGAGGGCCGGGCUCGGCGGUUCCCACAGCCACGGACGAGGUGGGCAGCGCCGAGGGGCUGCCUUGGCCCCCGGGGCAGUUACACUGUAACAGAAACCGCUCAAAGUGUCCCAGCCGCCCCUGUCUCACCCAGAACUGACUCCCACCGGGCUGUCUCGGGAGAGGAAUGUGAGCUGAUGGUUUGGGGUGAAGGAGGAGAAGAGAAGAUGUGUGGGGUGGCAGUAACAGGCGGUGCCUGCAGCCUCCCCCUUCUCCUGCCGCCCACAGCAGACGUUUCUGCUCAAAGCCAGACUGUGGAGCAGACAAACGCUCACCUUUCCCUCCUCCUCUCCUUCCUUCCUCCCCGCCCUCUUCCUCCACUCUCACCAAAUGCAGCUUCCAGAGCCUUGGAAUGGGAAGUCCACGGGCCCCUUGUCUCCUUGCAGCUGGGGAGAUGGUCCCAGUACGUUUUUAUCUCCCACCCUGUUAGAUCCAUUUGCAUCCUUCCCAUUUCCCUCUCCCAGCCCCGUGCAGUGAUUCCCCUCCCACCCACCUGCUGCACACACAAACGGUUCCUUGUCACUGCUCUGCCACCAGCUCCUCGUGGAACCACGUGUAAUGUCCCAUGGCAGAAAUUUCGGGCUGGAGCAGAGUCCUCAGUGCCACAGGAGGGGUUUUGCAGAUGUUUUCUUCCAGUCAAACCCACAGCAUUUAUCAAAACAAACGUGUUUCCAUCCUUGUUUCCACACAAUUUAGUCCCUGGAAUUGCUCACCCUGGCCCAAGGGCUGGUUUUGUUUCCCCCCUGCAGAGCUGGGUGAUUCCUCAAGGCAUCCCUGGACUUUUCCUUGGACAUGCAGCACGUGCUGGGUAUGGAAAAUCCCCCUGUGGUGCCCUGCAGAGCAGAGCUGCCCUGGGCUCAGCAGGGUCUGGCUGCUCCAGAGGGGGCUUGGGAUGGGCACUGCCCCUCCCCAGUGGGAAUUUG
rnacentral:lncRNA from 1 species